UGCCUGGUAGUCUAGUGGUUAGGAUUUGGCACUCUCAUCGCUGCAGCCCGGGUUUGAUUCCUGGUCAGGGAA
rnacentral:tRNA from 1 species